GUCCCUGUAGCACAAUGGACAGCGCGUUGGACUUCUAAUCCAAAGGUCGUGGGUUUGAAUCCCACCUGGGAUG
rnacentral:tRNA from 1 species